GAAACUGUGAAUAAGGCACUCCGUCUUUCCAAGCCGGAUGAUGACAACUAUUUCUAGAAACACUUAAAUUAGUGCUUGUUAGAAGCUCACCUAAAGUGGAGUACUUUAUAUUGGGAUAUCCAAUUGCGAAUAGACCCGUUUACAGCAUUAAUGGGACCAAUUCACUUUUAACUGUACAGAUCACCCCUCUGAAGAAGUCCUUUUAGGACGAAAUGCGUCAGGGUUGUGAAGAGCAAUACCCCAGUUUUAUUAUCUUUUGACAUAAAAUUAUGUUAAAAAAUAUAUGUAUGUGAAAAAGGGUUUCCUGAUCUAUCUGUGUUGAACUAAGCACACUUUUUAAUAAAUAUAUAUUUGGAGACUAAUUGACUUUCUGUAUAAGAUGCUGGUUUAAAAGAAAGCAAUUAAGUGCCCUCUGAUUCAUUUGGUGGUGAUACGUGGUUUGAAUCCUUACUAACAGGAGGAUUUAA